rnacentral:rRNA from 1 species
UUGACCUCGGAUCAGGUAGGGAUACCCGCUGAACUUAAGCAUAUCAAUAAGCGGAGGAAAAGAAACCAACCGGGAUUGCCUCAGUAACGGCGAGUGAAGCGGCAAGAGCUCAAAUUUGAAAGCUGGCUCCUUCGGAGUCCGCAUUGUAAUUUGCAGAGGAUGCUUUGGGUGCGGCCCCCGUCUAAGUGCCCUGGAACGGGCCGUCAGAGAGGGUGAGAAUCCCGUCUUGGGCGGGGUGUCCGUGCCCGUGUAAAGCUCCUUCGACGAGUCGAGUUGUUUGGGAAUGCAGCUCUAAAUGGGUGGUAAAUUUCAUCUAAAGCUAAAUACUGGCCGGAGACCGAUAGCGCACAAGUAGAGUGAUCGAAAGAUGAAAAGCACUUUGAAAAGAGAGUUAAACAGCACGUGAAAUUGUUGAAAGGGAAGCGCUUGCGACCAGACUCGCCCGCGGGGUUCAGCCGGCAUUCGUGCCGGUGUACUUCCCCGUGGGCGGGCCAGCGUCGGUUUGGGCGGCCGGUCAAAGGCCCCUGGAAUGUAGUGCCCUCCGGGGCACCUUAUAGCCAGGGGUGCAAUGCGGCCAGCCUGGACCGAGGAACGCGCUUCGGCACGGACGCUGGCAUAAUGGUCGUAAACGACCCGUCUUGAAACACGG